rnacentral:lncRNA from 1 species
UCCACAUUGACUCUGUACCGGUACCCCCUGUAUAUAGCCUCCACACUGACUCUGUACCGGUACCCCCUGUAUAUAGCCUCCACAUUGACUCUGUACCGGUACCCCCUGUAUAUAGCCUCCACACUGACUCUGUACCGGUACCCCCUGUAUAUAGCCUCCACAUUGACCCUGUACCGGUACCCCCCUGUAUAUAGCCUCCACACUGACUCUGUACUGGUACCCCCUGUAUAUAGCCUCCACAUUGACUCUGUACCGGUACCCCCUGUAUAUAGCCUCCACAUUGACCCUGUACCGGUACCCCCUGUAUAUAGCCUCCACACUGACUCUGUACCGUACCACCCUGUAUAUAGCCUCCACAUUGUUAUUUACUUAUUAUUUAUUUACUCUUUAAUUACUUGUGACUGAUUCAUUUUUUUUUAAAUUUAAACUGCAUUGUUGGUUAGGGAC